rnacentral:rRNA from 1 species
AGACCCGAAACCCGGUGAUCUAGCCAUGGGCAGGUUGAAGGUUGGGUAACACUAACUGGAGGACCGAACCGACUAAUGUUGAAAAAUUAGCGGAUGACCUGUGGCUGGGGGUGAAAGGCCAAUCAAACCGGGAGAUAGCUGGUUCUCCCCGAAAGCUAUUUAGGUAGCGCCUCGUGAAUUCAUCUCCGGGGGUAGAGCACUGUUUCGGCUAGGGGGCCAUCCCGGCUUACCAACCCGAUGCAAACUGCGAAUACCGGAGAAUGUUAUCACGGGAGACACACGGCGGGUGCUAACGUCCGUCGUGAAGAGGGAAACAACCCAGACCGCCAGCUAAGGUCCCAAAGUCAUGGUUAAGUGGGAAACGAUGUGGGAAGGCCCAGACAGCCAGGAUGUUGGCUUAGAAGCAGCCAUCAUUUAAAGAAAGCGUAAUAGCUCACUGGUCGAGUCGGCCUGCGCGGAAGAUGUAACGGGGCUAAACCAUGCACCGAAGCUGCGGCAGCGAACGUAUCACCCAAGACAACUUUACGGAGUUGACGAUUGACGGAGCGAAGCGACGUCAAAGCGUUCAUUAAAGUCGAGUUGGCUUAGGGAUACGUUCGUUGGGUAGGGGAGCGUUCUGUAAGCCUGUGAAGGUGUGUCGUGAGGCAUGCUGGAGGUAUCAGAAGUGCGAAUGCUGACAUAAGUAACGAUAAAGCGGGUGAAAAGCCCGCUCGCCGGAAGACCAAGGGUUCCUGUCCAACGUUAAUCGGGGCAGGGUGAGUCGACCCCUAAGGCGAGGCCGAAAGGCGUAGUCGAUGGGAAACGGGUUAAUAUUCCCGUACUUGGUGUUACUGCGAAGGGGGGACGGAGAAGGCUAUGUUGGCCGGGCGACGGUUGUCCCGGUUUAAGCGUGUAGGUGUGUGUUCCAGGUAAAUCCGGUUCACUUUAACACUGAGGCGUGACGACGAGGCACUACGGUGCUGAAGCAACAAAUGCCCUGCUUCCAGGAAAAGCCUCUAAGCAUCAGGUAACACGAAAUCGUACCCCAAACCGACACAGGUGGUCAGGUAGAGAAUACCAAGGCGCUUGAGAGAACUCGGGUGAAGGAACUAGGCAAAAUGGUGCCGUAACUUCGGGAGAAGGCACGCUGACACGUAGGUGAAGUGA